rnacentral:rRNA from 1 species
AUUGAACGCUGGCGGCAGGCCUAACACAUGCAAGUCGAACGAGUGGCGGACGGGUGAGUAAUGUCUGGGAAACUGCCUGGUGGAGGGGGAUAACUACUGGAAACGGUAGCUAAUACCGCAUACCAUUAGAUGUGCCCAGAUGGGAUUAGCUUGCUGGUGGGGUAACGGCUCACCAAGGCGACGAUCCCUAGCUGGUCUGAGAGGAUGACCAGCCACUCGGGAACUGAGACAGGGGCCAGAAUCCUACGGGAGGCAGCAGUGGGGAAUAUUGCACAAGGGGCUGAAGCCUGAUACAGCCAUGCCGCGUGUAUGAAGAAGGCCUUCGGGUUGUAAAGUACUUUCAGCGGGGAGGCGUUACCCGCAGAAGAAGCACCGGCUAACUCCGUGCCAGCCGCCGCGGUAAUUC